rnacentral:lncRNA from 1 species
UUCACAUUAUUUUUACAUGACAUGAAAUAUUCUUCUCCUUUUGAUUUUUUUCAACAGUUAAAAAAUGUGGAAACUGUUCUCAGUUUGCAGGCCACACAGAAGCUGGCUGUCGACUGGGUGUGGGUCCUGAGCUGCAUUUCGGUCGCUGCUGAUUCCAUUUGUUUAUUGAGCCAAGUCAGUUUCUCUGCUGUGUGGAAGGUGGGGAUGCAGGACAAGGAACGAUCCGCAUAUCGCCGACCGUCCACACCGUCGCAGGACAGGCUGAGCUCAGGAGGGUGAGCACCCGAAAGCCGGUUUCAGGUACGUUAACACGUAUGGGUAAAAUGCGUUAUAAAGGGGCAGGGGAAUGGACUGCUGUGGGCCAAGGAGCCCCAGGCUACUUUACAUGCAAACCUCUUCCUCCUCCCUCCUUCCCAC